rnacentral:rRNA from 1 species
CUGUGAGGUAUGCUGGAGGUAUCAGAAGUGCGAAUGCUGACAUAAGUAACGAUAAAGCGGGUGAAAAGCCCGCUCGCCGGAAGACCAAGGGUUCCUGUCCAACGUUAAUCGGGGCAGGGUGAGUCGACCCCUAAGGCGAGGCCGAAAGGCGUAGUCGAUGGGAAACAGGUUAAUAUUCCUGUACUUGGUGUUACUGCGAAGGGGGGACGGAGAAGGCUAUGUUGGCCGGGCGACGGUUGUCCCGGUUUAAGCGUGUAGGCUGGUUUUCCAGGCAAAUCCGGAAAAUCAAGGCUGAGGCGUGAUGACGAGGCACUACGGUGCUGAAGCAACAAAUGCCCUGCUUCCAGGAAAAGCCUCUAAGCAUCAGGUAACAUCAAAUCGUACCCCAAACCGACACAGGUGGUCAGGUAGAGAAUACCAAGGCGCUUGAGAGAACUCGGGUGAAGGAACUAGGCAAAAUGGUGCCGUAACUUCGGGAGAAGGCACGCUGAUAUGUAGGUGAAGUCCCUCGCGGAUGGAGCUGAAAUCAGUCGAAGAUACCAGCUGGCUGCAACUGUUUAUUAAAAACACAGCACUGUGCAAACACGAAAGUGGACGUAUACGGUGUGACGCCUGCCCGGUGCCGGAAGGUUAAUUGAUGGGGUCAGCGCAAGCGAAGCUCUUGAUCGAAGCCCCGGUAAACGGCGGCCGUAACUAUAACGGUCCUAAGGUAGCGAAAUUCCUUGUCGGGUAAGUUCCGACCUGCACGAAUGGCGUAAUGAUGGCCAGGCUGUCUCCACCCGAGACUCAGUGAAAUUGAACUCGCUGUGAAGAUGCAGUGUACCCGCGGCAAGACGGAAAGACCCCGUGAACCUUUACUAUAGCUUGACACUGAACAUUGAGCCUUGAUGUGUAGGAUAGGUGGGAGGCUUUGAAGUGUGGACGCCAGUCUGCAUGGAGCCGACCUUGAAAUACCACCCUUUAAUGUUUGAUGUUCUAACGUGGACCCGUGAUCCGGGUUGCGGACAGUGUCUGGUGGGUAGUUUGACUGGGGCGGUCUCCUCCUAAAGAGUAACGGAGGAGCACGAAGGUUGGCUAAUCCUGGUCGGACAUCAGGAGGUUAGUGCAAUGGCAUAAGCCAGCUUGACUGCGAGCGUGACGGCGCGAGCAGGUGCGAAAGCAGGUCAUAGUGAUCCGGUGGUUCUGAAUGGAAGGGCCAUCGCUCAACGGAUAAAAGGUACUCCGGGGAUAACAGGCUGAUACCGCCCAAGAGUUCAUAUCGACGGCGGUGUUUGGCACCUCGAUGUCGGCUCAUCACAUCCUGGGGCUGAAGUAGGUCCCAAGGGUAUGGCUGUUCGCCAUUUAAAGUGGUACGCGAGCUGGGUUUAGAACGUCGUGAGACAGUUCGGUCCCUAUCUGCCGUGGGCGCUGGAGAACUGAGGGGGGCUGCUCCUAGUACGAGAGGACCGGAGUGGACGCAUCACUGGUGUUCGGGUUGUCAUGCCAAUGGCACUGCCCGGUAGCUAAAUGCGGAAGAGAUAAGUGCUGAAAGCAUCUAAGCACGAAACUUGCCCCGAGAUGAGUUCUCCCUGACCCUUUAAGGGUCCUGAAGGAACGUUGAAGACGACGACGUUGAUAGGCCGGGUGUGUAAGCGCAGCGAUGCGUUGAGCUAACCGGUACUAAUGAACCGUGAGGCUUAACCUUACAACGCCGAAGGUGUUU